UACGUAGGGGGCAAGCGUUGUCCGGAUUUAUUGGGCGUAAAGAGCGUGUAGGCGGUUUGGUAGGUCCGCUGUGAAAACUCGAGGCUCAACCUCGAGACGCCGGUGGAAACCAUCAGACUAGAGUCCGGAAGAGGAGAGUGGAAUUCCUGGUGUGAGCGGUGGAAAUGACGCAGAUAUCAGGAGGAACACCAAUGGCGAAGGCAGCUCGCUGGGACGUGACUGACGCUGAGGCGCGACAGCGUGGGGAGCAAACAGG
rnacentral:rRNA from 1 species